CUUAAAAAAUGUUAAAUACAGUUAAUGCAAUAUUAAUCGCCCUUUGGUGAUAUAAAAUGCAAUAUUUUCAGACAGCUAUCGAGCUUUUCUAGAGGAAGAGCUGAUGAAAAGAGUCACAGCUGAAUAGUGGAGAGAAAAAGCCCGGUAUUUAUUGCUUUUGUUUGGCUUUUGGCUACAGAGACAGGAACCUUCUAAUGGGGCACUAAUAUAUCUGAAGAAGUGCUGCUUGAAUAACAAUGGUUCCUGUUUAUCACAUGCUGACAGGGGUCAGGCAUUG
rnacentral:lncRNA from 1 species